UCCGAAAGGACGUGCACUGCACGCGGUGGGCAAAAAAUUAUAAGAAACGACACGGACACGGCCUUCUCCUCUCCCGCACUUUGAAACCUCGCGAAUUUUCCAAAGCUCGACGCACCCCCGCCGCGCAGUCGCGCACCGUUUCCCUCUUCCUCGUCGUCACCGCUCAGUCGCUCACCACCCUCCCUAAAACCCAACACGUGCCGCCGGCGUCGCCCAUGCGCCGGCAACGCCGCACCGGCGGCCUCCGCCCGGUGCUGCUGCUCCUCCCCUUCGCCGCGCUCAUUUCGGUCGCAACCUUCUCCCUGCACUCCGCCGACCGCCUCCUCAGCUCCUCCGACACGGGCACGGCGCAGAAGGCCGCUUCGUCGUCCCGGCAGCAUCGGCGGCUGCCCGUCGCCACCCUCGACGUGCGCGCGCUCGACGCCGCCCCGCCGCUGCACGCGGCCGCCGCGCGCGCCUUCCGGUCCGGCGGGCGCCUCCUCCGCGACGUCCUCUCCUCCUCCUCGCCGUCCGCCCCCGCGCCGCCGCCCGCGGGUCCCGGCGCGGCGCGGUGCCCGGCCUCGAUCGUGCGGUCGGGCGCGCAGCUCCGCGGCGCUGGCGGCGGCGUCCUGCUGCCCCUGCCAUGCGGGCUGACUCUGGGGUCGCACGUCACGGUGGUCGGCGCGCCGCGGGGCGGUCGAGGCGCUGCCGCCGUGGCGCAGUUUGCCGUGGAGCUGCGCGGGGAAGGGGACGGGGACGAGGCGCCGAGGAUCCUGCACUUUAACCCGCGGCUCAGCGGGGACUGGAGCCGCCGCCCGGUGAUCGAGAUGAACACGCGCUUCCGCGGACAAUGGGGCCCCGCGCUCCGGUGCGACGGCCGUCGGUCGCGCCCCGACUUGGAGACAGUUGAUGGAUUAGUGACAUGCGAGGAAUGGUCUAAAAACAUUGAUGACGCAUCAGAGGAGUUGAAGAGAUUGUGGUUGCGGAACCGUGUUGCUGGAAAGAAUAACAGAAAUUGGUUACAUUGGCCAUAUCCAUUCUUGGAAGAAGAAAUGUUUGUCCUAACACUAAGUGCUGGUUUAGAAGGUUACCAUUUUCAUGUUGACGGGAAGCAUGUCACAUCUUUUCCUUACCGUGUUGGCUUUCUUCUUGAGGAUGCCACAAUCUUGUCUGUGAAUGGUAAUAUUGACAUCAAAUCAAUAGUAGCUGGUUCUUUACCAACAACUCAUCCAAGUAUUGUACAAAGAAAUCUGGAGUUGCUGACAGAACUAAAAACCCCUCCUCUUGGCAAAGAGAAUGUUGAACUGUUCAUAGGCAUCCUUUCAGCGGGGAGCCAUUUCACUGAGCGUAUGGCUGUGAGGAGAUCUUGGAUGUCUUUGGUGCGAAAUUCAUCAAGCAUAGUGGCACGUUUUUUUGUUGCAUUGAACGGCAGAAAGGAAGUGAAUGAAGAUUUGAUAAAAGAGGCAGAUUUCUUCAGGGACAUUGUCAUUGUGCCUUUUGCGGAUAGCUAUGAUCUGGUUGUUCUGAAGACUGUUGCCAUUUGUGACUAUGUGGCUCGUGUUGUUCCGGCAAAGUACGUCAUGAAGUGUGAUGAUGAUACCUUUGUUGGGCUUGAUUCGGUAAUGGCUGAAGUUAAGAAAAUCCCAGAUGGCAAAAGCUUCUAUUUAGGGAACAUGAACUACUACCACAGGCCACUGCGGGAGGGAAAAUGGGCUGUCUCAUAUGAGAAGGACAUUCUAGACAUUGUGCUACAACUGAAGGCAUGGUUCAGGCAUGGUUCUACGUACGACGUCAAUGAACAUGAUAAGAAUAGGGUAAUUGGAUCUUAGAAGGUGGGACCCAACGUCCAACUAGUGUAGUCUCUCCUUUCCUCUAUGAAAGGAAUGGGCAGAGUAAUUGGCUGUCACUUCACGAGCAUCACAAGAUGUCCAGGAGUGGCCCAGAGAAGAGUACCCGCCCUAUGCUGAUGGCGCAGGCUAUGUCGUUUCUUCUGACAUUGCAAACUUCGUCGCAUCUGGAAUGGAGAACGGCCGACUAAAUCUGUUCAAGAUGGAGGACGUGAGCAUGGGGAUGUGGGUGGGGCAGUUCAACUUCAACCGCUCGGGGCCGGGGAGCGCCGUGGCGUACGUCCACAGCGCCGGGUUCUGCCAGUCCGGCUGCGUCGCUGGCUACCUCACCGCGCACUACCAGUCGCCGGCGCAGAUGGUGUGCCUCUGGGAGAAGCUACGGCGAGGCGUCGCGCAGUGCUGCAACGCGAGGUGACCGUCCAUAUAUACCUCGGGCUCACUUCAGCUGGGAUGGAAAUGGGUACAUACUUACAUACUACUGAGGCUGUGUUUCCACUGAUCGGAAGCAGCGAUGUACACAUAAUACGUCUGUAAGGAUGGGUAGUUUACACAUCUGUACACAGAAAUCAACGGUACCAUAGUAUAGUAUAGUACUCCCUUGUGGUGCGUAAA